rnacentral:rRNA from 1 species
UACGGAGGGUGCAACCGUUGCUCGGAAUCAUUGGGCGUAAAGCGAGCGUAGGCGGCUUCGUAAGUCGGAUGUGAAAGCCCUCGGCUCAACCGAGGAAGUGCACCCGAAACUGCGGAGCUUGAGUGCCGGAGAGGGUGGCGGAAUUCCCGGUGUAGAGGUGAAAUUCGUAGAUAUCGGGAGGAACACCAGUGGCGAAGGCGACUACCUGGCCUGUUUCUUGACGCUGAGGCGCGAAAGCUAGGGGAGCAAACGGG